CUCUUCUCAUCCUGGUAGGAGCUUGCUCUCGGGCUGCGUGUGGUCAUAGAAGCAACAGCAAUGUCACCCUUGGAGAGCCCUCAGGAAACACCGGCUUCCAUUGGCUGAGUGUGAGCACACACGCGUGUGUGUAUGCAGGCGCCUGUCUGUCAUGGCCCUUCCUGUAAUGUCCUAUUCCAGGUACUGUACUCCUUACUGCUCGCCUGACCCCUCGGGCUCAGGUUUCUGGUUCUUUCAGCGAGUGGAGUGGCUUGUUCUGGUUUGCAUUUGCGGCACUCCGGAUCCAUUGACCCUCCCCUAUCUGGGAGCCCACCUUUUGUGCAGAUCCAUGAGAACCGUGGGUGUCUCAUCUGUACAUCCACUGGCCCCUUAGCGGGGUUUUGUCUUUUUUUUUCCUCCCGGAGGGUAUGGAAGACAGAGAGCCCCGCAGGGUGGGAGGGAAGGCUGCUGGCUUUUUCCUUGUCAUUGGCCAUUUGCUGCCUGCUUCACCAGGCGUGUUUGGAGCGUGUUUGCAUAAAGUGGACGCAGGCUGCAAUUCCGUGAUGAAUUCUAUGAAUACUAAUCUGCUACUACCCUUGACCUCGGGGUCACCGAAAGAUCAAAACCAAACCAUUUAAUAUUUUCCUUUUGCAGAUCAAUAGAAGCAUAAAUUCCCCCUCAAUGACAAGUAUAAUUUCAAACAGAUCUAUAGGAGGCAUGCACGCAUUUCAGCCGGGGAUGCUUGCUGGCUGCCUGUCUUGCCUUUUGGGGAGCAAGCAAGGAGUCCCGUUCUUCUUUUCCCAUUGAGUUUUGUUUUGCCUUUUUUUUUUUUUUAAUGGCUCUGAAAUGCUAUUUCCAGCAGCUGCUGUCAUAUAAAUAUCUCUUGUUUUUCUUCUCCUCUUUCCCUCCUGGUGAAAAGGGCAGGGGACCUAUUGAAAAUUCCGCUUUAUCUCUUUCAGCCGGGUUCAAGUACAGGUCGAAUAAUCGAUCCCCUCUCCUUUUCUUUUUUUGAGUUUCCUGUCGUUCUUUUUGGCCAGAUCAGCAGCAGAGGGGAAAUUGGGAGGGUGGCUCGCUUUCUGUAGUCAGUCCUACGGUCUCCCUAUGGCUGCGUUUGCGGUUACGUGCUGGUGCGUGUGAGCUGCCGUGUCUGUGUGUGUGUGUGUGUGUGUGUGUGUGUGUGUGUGUGUGUGUGCUGCCUUAUGCACCUGACAACAUGCAUUCUUUCCAGCCGGAUCUCUCACCCAGAACUCAAGGGAGGAAGACUCAAAAAAAAUAAAAAGAAAUAAAAAAUCUGCAAAAGAUAACAAGUUAGGAGUGAAAUGGGCACUGUUAACAUUCGCAAAGCUCCCGGACACAGCCUGUGUGGCUAAGACUGGGGAGAGUCUUCCAAGGAACACAUUGUCCCCAAAGAUGCUGGACUAUAUAUAUUAAAUUACAUAUUUAAAAAAUUAUGUGUGUGCACACUUGGGUGACAUCACAUGCCUGUGACCAUAGGGCAACUUUACGAAGUCAGUUCUUUCCCUCAACCUUCAUGUGGGUUCUGGGGAAUCGAACUCACACUGUCAGGCUUGUGUGGCCAGCACUUUAUCUGCUGAGAGACAUCUUGCUGGUCCCCAUUAAUUAUUUUUUAAUACAACUUGAAAAAAGGAAAAAAAAAUAGGAGAAGACCCUGGGAGU
rnacentral:lncRNA from 1 species